rnacentral:rRNA from 1 species
AUGUCUUGGGCUGUCGGUGAUGGCCGGACUUGCCGAUUCUGGACAGAUUCUUGGAUCGAUGGCCAGACCAUCUCUGAUAUCUCCCCAUCUCUUCUUCCCAUCGUGCCUCAUCGACGGCGCAAGCGCACGGUGGCGAAGGGGCUCCACGACCAUAGUUGGGUUGCCGACCUUGAUGGCGCCCUAAUGUCAGGUGCGAUGCUCGAGUACGUGCAGAUCUGGAGGCAACUCCGACAUCUCACCCUAUCUAGCUCCCUCGAUGGCCUCAUAUGGCGUUGGACCGCGGACGCCAAGUAUUCCGCCAAGUCAUGCUACCGGGCUUAUGCACUGGUUCUACAACAACCCCCUUCUGGUGCCUGA